UAUAAUAAGGACCAUGAAAAUCUUAAGUCGUACAUGAACUUUGACCUAUUUCGAAAAGAAGAUAUUUCUGCAACAUUAAUCAAGAACUUCCUGGGUUGAGGCUUAAUUGUUCAUAGUGACGACAUGUUUUAUAUAUGUAGAGAAAUAACGGAGUCAAUCGACUUUUCUCAUUAUGCUGACUAAACGAGAAACUGUGAAAGACAUUGCAAUGAGAGCCUAUGAUUUAAAUUAAAACAAUCAAUGAUAUUACAGUUGAUGAAGGAUUCUAUAAUUGUAAAAAGAAAAACUUAAAAAUAUUACUAUCAAUCAUACAUACAAUAGCACAAACAAGAUUAGUUGAAAUAUUAGGAUGUAAUAGGAAAAUUCAUUAACAAGUGACUCAUGAUGUUUUCGUUAACGUUUCGUUAAUGACUCAUGAUGUAUGCGUUUCGUUUGCACGGCAAACGCAUUAACACAAAUAUUUUGUAUGUAACAAUGUACAAGAGCAUUGCAAAU